UACGUAGGGGGCAAGCGUUGUCCGGAUUUACUGGGCGUAAAGCGCACGUAGGCGGCUUUCUAAGUCGGGGGUGAAAUCCUGGAGCUCAACUCCAGAACUGCCUUCGAUACUGGAGAGCUCGAGUCCGGGAGAGGUGAGUGGAACUGCGAGUGUAGAGGUGAAAUUCGUAGAUAUUCGCAAGAACACCAGUGGCGAAGGCGGCUCACUGGCCCGGUACUGACGCUGAGGUGCGAAAGCGUGGGGAGCAAACAGG
rnacentral:rRNA from 1 species